rnacentral:rRNA from 1 species
UACGUAGGGUGCAAGCGUUAAUCGGAAUUACUGGGCGUAAAGCGUGCGCAGGCGGUUCUAUAAGACAGAUGUGAAAUCCCCGGGCUCAACCUGGGAACUGCAUUUGUGACUGUAGAGCUGGAGUGCGGCAGAGGGGGAUGGAAUUCCGCGUGUAGCAGUGAAAUGCGUAGAGAUGUGGAGGAACACCGAUGGCGAAGGCAGCCCCCUGGGCUAACACUGACGCUCAGGCACGAAAGCGUGGGGAGCAAACAGG